GACCCAUCUUAGGAUGUAGAUAAAAAUUUCAAAGCCCAUCUAAUCUUACAAAAAAAUUUUCAUGACCCACCCAAUCUAAAUUGGAAAAAUAUACUUUUAUAAUAAAAAAACUUGCAGGUAUGAACAUUGUAAAUAUACACGGCACUGUAUUGACAUACAUAAUUCCACCAAGUUUGACCAACACAUUGAUACUGAGUUGCUCUCCAGUUGGUUGUAUUUGCUAUGAUUCGACCACUUCUUGUUGUAUAAACAGAGUACUGGCUUCAAUAGCAUAAUUUGCAUUUGAUAAUUUGGAUAUAGUUUUGUUUACUUUUAUUAUUAAUAUCUUUAUUAUUUUUUGAAGUAGACAUGCAUGGGUUUUUGUUUGGUGGCCCAACCGUGGGCAUACAAAAAAAUUUGCGGCCCAUCGAAACUGCCCAAAGAUUUUCCAUGCCCCAUCCCAAAUCACUCCAGCCCACCCUAGCAGUUACUUUAUGACCGCUCCCUUACCUAUACUAAAUGUUGAGGGUUUUCUGGUGAUGGAAAUCUCGAGUGUAAAUUUUAUACAUUUUUAGAACUAAACAUGGGCAGCUGCGAAAAAUGCAACUACAGGCUCUCUGGCAGGAGUCGAACUUGCGGCCCUGCGUUUCUAGUGCAGCGCUCUAACCCUGAGCUGCAGUACAGAGUCAAUCGAGCUUUAACCGCAAGUUCAUGUAUUUACACUAAGGCGAUGCCUACAGUAUAACCAAUAUAGACGGCUGGCCAAGUCAUCAUUUUGUACAACUGGAUGGCAACUUUAUGUUAGAGGCUGGUAACAGGCAUUUUCUUAUAGUUCAAGCCUUGGUGAACAAGACUAUAUAGACAGCGGGAAAAAAAAGAAAAAAAAAGAAAGAGAAAAAGAAGGAAAGAGCAUAGCACGAAAGAAAAAAAAAGAAAGAAAGAAAGAGCAUAGCACGCAAGACUAUAUGUGUUACCACUUC